rnacentral:rRNA from 1 species
UACCAGCACCCCGAGUGGUCGGGACGUUUAUUGGGCCUAAAGCAUCCGUAGCCGGUUCUACAAGUCUUCCGUUAAAUCCACCUGCUUAACAGAUGGGCUGCGGAAGAUACUAUAGAGCUAGGAGGCGGGGAGAGGCAAGCGGUACUCGAUGGGUAGGGGUAAAAAUCCGUUGAUCCAUUGAAGACCACCAGUGGCGAAGGCGGGCUUGCCAGAACGCGCUCGACGGUGAGGGAUGAAAGCUG